AGUGAACGCUGGCGGUAGGCCUAACACAUGCAAGUCGAACGGCAGCACAGUAAGAGCUUGCUCUUACGGGUGGCGAGUGGCGGACGGGUGAGGAAUACAUCGGAAUCUACUUUUUCGUGGGGGAUAACGUAGGGAAACUUACGCUAAUACCGCAUACGACCUACGGGUGAAAGCAGGGGAUCUUCGGACCUUGCGCGAUUGAAUGAGCCGAUGUCGGAUUAGCUAGUUGGCGGGGUAAAGGCCCACCAAGUCGACGAUCCGUAGCUGGUCUGAGAGGAUGAUAGGCGACACUGGAACGGGACCAGGGACAAGAGUCCUACGGGAGGCAGCAGUGGGGAAUAUUGGGCAAUGGGGGCGAGCAUGAUCCAGCCAGCCCGAGUGGGAGAAGAAGGCGUUCGGGUUGGAAAGCCCUUUUGUUGGGAAAGAAAAGCAGCAGGUUAAUACCCCGCUGUUCUGACGGUACCCAAAGAAUAAGCACCGGCUAACUUCGUG
rnacentral:rRNA from 1 species